rnacentral:misc_RNA from 1 species
UUUAACUCAUUCGUGCAAGCUAGUCAGAGACACGGCGGCUGCUGGUGGGUUUCUCUGGGGCCUGCGGCGGGCCCGCCGAGGCAACAUGCGUAUACGGUUCGCGGGGCCUGCAGAGCCGGCGGGCACUCUGUAAUGAUCCCUCCGCUGGUUCACCAACGGAGA